rnacentral:rRNA from 1 species
UACGUAGGGGGCGAGCGUUGUCCGAAUUCAUUGGGCGUAAAGAGCUCGUAGGCGGUUUGGCAAGUCGGGUGUGAAAUCUCUGGGCUCAACUCAGAGAGGCCACUCGAUACUGCUAUGACUAGAGUCCGGUAGGGGACCAUGGAAUUCCUGGUGUAGCGGUGAAAUGCGCAGAUAUCAGGAGGAACACCGGUGGCGAAGGCGGUGGUCUGGGCCGGUACUGACGCUGAGGAGCGAAAGCGUGGGGAGCGAACAGG